rnacentral:rRNA from 1 species
GACGAACGCUGGCGGCGUGCUUAACACAUGCAAGUCGAACGGAAAGGCCCUGCGUUUGUGGGGUGCUCGAGUGGCGAACGGGUGAGUAACACGUGAGUAACCUGCCCUUGAAUGUGGGAUAACUUCAGGGAACUGGGGCUAAUACAGGAUAGGAGCUCCUGAAGCAUGGGGGGGGAUGGAAAGAUUCGGCGGUUGGGGCUGGUAUCGCGGGUUAUCAGCUUGUUGGUGGGGUAGGUGCUGACCAAGGCUAUGAAGGGUAGGCGGCCUGGGAGGGUGGCCGGCCACCUUGCUCCUGCGGUACGGCCCAGUCUCCUACCUUCCGCAGCAGUGGGGAAUAUUGCGCAGUGGGCCGGCGCCUGAUGCAGCAGCCCCGCGUUCGUGAUGCCGUCCUUCUGGUUGUAAACCGCUUUCGCCUGUGCCGAAGCCUUCGUGACGGUACUUAGUCAGGAAGCCCCGGCUAACUACGUG